GAUUAAGUAUUUAUGACACAUGGCCUUACCUUGUAGUUGGUGGAUCACUUUUGGUGCCACAUCACUUUGUAGUUCAGCAGAUCUGUAUUUACGUCAAAGAAUCUUGUAAAUUGUAGUUCAGCAGAUCUGUAUUUACGUCAAAGAAUCUUGUAAAUUGUAGUUCAGUUAUUAUGCCACACCAUAUUUGAAAUGUUACUUCAGUUUUUAUGCCACACCAUAUUUUUGAGUCACUUCAGUUUUAAUGCCACACUUCCUUAUAGAUAUUGUUCAGUUUUCAUGCCAUACCAAUUUAUUUGGUAUGAUUUCAAAUAAAACUAUCCACCAGAGGACAGAGAACAAUGAUGUCAACGUCUAUAGGACACUGUAUUGCCUUGAACAAUGUGUAAAACCCAUACUGUAUAAUAAGUUAUACCAGCCCAAAACAUGAUAAAAUGGGAAACAAUUCAUAACAUUUAGAACUAUCCUAAAGAUUUAUGUAAUUUCUCCAGGUCACAGUGGCACCCA
rnacentral:lncRNA from 1 species